rnacentral:tRNA from 1 species
GGGCCCGUAGCUUAGAGGAAGAGCGCUCGGCUGAUAACCGGGAGGUCGAGGGUUCGAUCCCCUCCGGGCCCACCA